rnacentral:rRNA from 1 species
CAGCAGCCGCGGUAAUACAGAGGGUGCGAGCGUUAAUCGGAUUUACUGGGCGUAAAGCGUGCGUAGGCGGCUAAUUGAGUCGGAUGUGAAAUCCCCGAGCUUAACUUGGGAAUUGCAUUCGAUACUGGUUAGCUAGAGUGUGGGAGAGGAUGGUAGAAUUCCAGGUGUAGCGGUGAAAUGCGUAGAGAUCUGGAGGAAUACCGAAGGCGAAGGCAGCCAUCUGGCCUAACACUGACGCUGAGGUACGAAAGCAUGGGGAGCAAACAGGAUUAGAUACCCGCGUAGUCCCUGUCUCUUAUAC